rnacentral:rRNA from 1 species
AAUUUUGGACAAUGGGGGAAACCCUGAUCCAGCCAUCCCGCUUGUAUGAUGAAGGCCUUCGGUUUGUAAAGUACUUUUGGCAGAGAAGAAAAGGUAUCCCCUAAUACGGGAUACUGCUGACGGUAUCUGCAGAAUAGGCACCGGCUAACAACGUGCACGCAGCCGCGGUAAUACGUAGGGUCCAAGAGUUAACCGGAAUUACUGGGCGUAAAACGUGUGUAGGCGGUUCGGAAAGAAAGAUGUGAAAUCCCAGGGCUCAACCUUGGAACUGCAUUUUUAACUGCCGAGCUAGAGUAUGUCAGAGGGGGGUAGAAUUCCACGUGUAGCAGUGAAAUGCGUAGAUAUGUGGAGGAAUACCGAUGGCGAAGGCAGCCCCCUGAGAUAAUACUGACGCUCAGACACGAAAGCGUGGGGAGCGAACAGG